GCUUUAGAGAACAUACACAACACACAAGAAUGACAAUGAAAAAAUUUUAAAUUUUUUUAUUGAUGAUAAUAUUAUAUAUAUUUUUUUUUUUUACCUAAUUUCAGGAAAGUCAAGACAGUGGAGGUUAGUACAUCUUCCUUUCUUGUUUAAUUUAAUUUACUUCUCUAAUCUUUUAAUCGAUUAAAUCUUGAAUUAACUUAAUUAUAUUCUGAUGUCAUGAAAUAGGAUUUGGGACAAAAAUUAAUUGAGAAAAAAAAGAAACUAACUGAUCUCAAACUGAAGAAGAGUUACUGGGAGAAUACAAAAGUUGUGACUAGCAUUGAAAAAAUUGCAGAGAUGGAACAAAGUUUACAGAAAACCCUUCAAGACAUUCGCCAACACAAGAAAGAAUUAUAUGAGCAACAUUUGAUGAUAUCUCAAACUGCUGCUGAGCCCUUUGAAUUCAAGUGUGAC